UUAGAUUAAGUUAUUAAGGGCGCACGGUGGAUGCCUUGGCACUAGAAGCCGAAGAAGGACGUUACUAACGACGAUAUGCUUUGGGGAGCUGUAAGUACGCUUUGAUCCAGAGAUUUCCGAAUGGGGAAACCCAGCAUGAGUUAUGUCAUGUUAUCCACAUAUGAAUACAUAGUAUGUGAGAAGGCACACCCGGAGAACUGAAACAUCUUAGUACCCGGAGGAAGAGAAAGAAAACUCGAUUCCCUGAGUAGCGGCGAGCGAAACGGGAAUAGCCCAAACCAACAGGCUUGCCUGUUGGGGUUGUAGGACACUCAAUACGGAGUUACAAAGGAAAUAAUUAGACGAAUGGUUUUGGAAAAACCAACCAUAGAAGGUAAUGGUCCUGUAGUCGAAAGUUAUUUCUCUCCUGAGUGGAUCCUGAGUACGGCGGAACACGUGUAAUUCCGUCGGAAUCCGGGAGGACCAUCUCCCAAGGCUAAAUACUCUCUAGUGACCGAUAGUGAACCAGUACCGUGAGGGAAAGGUGAAAAGCACCCCGGAAGGGGAGUGAAAUAGAACCUGAAACCGUGUGCUUACAAAUAGUCAGAGCCCGUUAAUGGGUGAUGGCGUGCCUUUUGUAGAAUGAACCGGCGAGUUACGAUUUGAUGCAAGGUUAAGCAGUAAAUGUGGAGCCGUAGCGAAAGCGAGUCUGAAUAGGGCGAAUGAGUAUCUGGUCGUAGACCCGAAACCAAGUGAUCUACCCAUGUCCAGGUUGAAGUUCAGGUAACACUGAAUGGAGGACCGAACCGACUUACGUUGAAAAGUGAGCGGAUGAGGUGUGGGUAGCGGAGAAAUUCCAAUCGAACUUGGAGAUAGCUGGUUCUCUCCGAAAUAGCUUUAGGGCUAGCCUCAAGUGAUGAUUAUUGGAGGUAGAGCACUGUUUGGACGAGGGGCCCCUCUAGGG
rnacentral:rRNA from 2 species